GCCUUCUUGCACUGGUACACUGGAGAAGGGAUGGACGAGAUGGAGUUCACUGAAGCGGAAAGCAACAUGAACGAUUUGGUGUCAGAGUACCAGCAGUACCAGGAUGCAACUGCUGAUGAGGAUGUUGAGUAUGAGGAAGGCGUUGACGAGAAUUAUGAGGGCUAAGAAGACUAUGAAUUAUGGCUAUUUCUUUGGAGUCAGAAUGAGGUUUGACGACUCACCCUCACUUGUUCAUGUGGCAGCCGGUAGUUUCUUUAUUGUUUUGAUAUUCUGUAUCUUGAGGUGAUAUUGUUGGUUUGUUAUAUCA
rnacentral:misc_RNA from 1 species